rnacentral:rRNA from 1 species
CAUUCACGGAGAGUUUGAUCCUGGCUCAGGACGAACGCUGGCGGCGUGCUUA